UGCUAGCACUAUAUGGCUCAAUGGGUAGAAUUAUUAUGUCCCAAUGGUUGCUUAAAUUGGACUUCCCACUUUAGGAGUAUCUGAGUGGAAUGAGCUUAUGUAAUUCUUCACGAGUUAUUUUACUUAAGAAGACACAAUAGUGCCUUUGCGGCUCUUUGUUCUCUGAAUGAAACAUAAAUUAAGAGAGCGUUGUAGUUAUGUGGAUUCAGAUAAAUUGAUGGUGGGUUUGAGAGCAGGGCAACAGUGUAAUCGCAAAGAGAAACAGACUGGCCCAGCAGCCAAAAAUGAGUGCAUUAAGAUUUUUUCAGAAGUUGCAAAGCAUGGGAUCAAUCCUGGUUCAAAGAUCAACUCCCGGGGGGAUUAAGAAGUUAGGAGUGUUGUAGAGAUGGAAAGAAAUUUGACCACUUCCAUUAGUUGCCGAAGUGGGGUUUCAGAAGUUACUUGGGAUGGCAUGAGCAGGUUAAAGAUUCGAUUAAUUUUAUAUCAGUUGCCUCAUAGCUUUGGAAUUAUUAGUCAAUGCACCGAGUAUUUUUCCUUCUCUAGGUUGUUUAUCUUGCUUGGGUGCUCCAAAGGUAAAAUUGAAAUAUUUUUUGUA